UACGGAGGGUGCGAGCGUUGUCCGGAUUUAUUGGGUUUAAAGGGUGCGUAGGUGGCUAAUUAAGUCAGUGGUGAAAUACAGCCGCUCAACGGUUGAGGUGCCAUUGAUACUGAUUAGCUUGAAAUAAUUGGAGGCUGCCGGAAUGGAUGGUGUAGCGGUGAAAUGCAUAGAUAUCAUCCAGAACACCGAUUGCGAAGGCAGGUGGCUACGAUUUAUUUGACACUGAGGCACGAAAGCAUGGGGAGCAAACAGG
rnacentral:rRNA from 1 species